CGUGCACAGGGGGGUGGCCCGGUGGCCAGAGCCACUGCCCCUCUGCCCUCAUCGACUGAGGUGCCCCUUCCCCAAUGCUCCGCUCAAAGCAUUCCGUUGAUUCCGCGAAUCCGCUCCAGGUUUUCCCGCUCGCUCCGCACUCCGCAGCAUCACUCACAGUGUGUGUCUGCGGCGCUUGUGAACACGACAUUUCACGAAAGCUGUCACAUUAACAGGUAGGCUAUGCAAGACAGUGGUUGAAUCUGCUAAAAAAAAUAUAUAUAUUUGUAUUUAUGUCGGUAAUGUUUUGUGCUCUUGGUCUUCUACUAGUGCUAACAACUUGUACAAUAUAUCCACAUUCUAAGAAGCUGCUUGUCUAAUCAAAUUAUAAUUGUACUCUCGAUCAGAUCAGAUCUAAUACAAAUAACUACAUUUUCCGUUGUUGGCACACUUUGUAGACAAGACAACCAUAAAAAAAAAAAAAACAAUGCCUUCACAAAAAAGAAGACAGAGACAGAGAGAGAAAGAGAGAAGGGAGGCUGCUAAAGGCAGUUCAACGUUGCAAACAUGGAUUCAAAGCUCCAGCAAGCCAGCAGAUGAGGCAGAGGCAGGCUCAGAGAGUGAGGGAGAGCCCAUUCAGCAUCAGCCAAAUCAGACACUUACAGAUGAAAAUGCUUCGGAAUCAAUUCAACGGAGUAAAAGUGAAGGUCUUUGAACUGAGCCAGAGACAGAAAAAGUUCAGAAUGAGAAAGAAAGGCAAUACAAUGAGACAGAGAGGGAAGAGACAGAUGCAGAACAGGAAGAUAUUUUGAGCGUGUACUGUCUUCUUUUUUAAUUGUACAUUUUGUAAUAAUUGGAAAAUUUGUGUUAACAAGCAACCACCCCCUCAGUGCCCCUUUUUUUGGUUUAGGCCACUGCCCCUCAAAAUGUCUGUGCACGGCC